CUUUCUUUUGAUAUAUGGUAGCUCAACCAGUUCAUUAUAUUGAGGGAGUUAUGAUCGUUCAAAGUUGACCCAAAAAACUGGCAGGCCUCAGUAGUUUCCUGCACAUUUUACUGUUCACAUCCCGGCCACCGUUUCAAAGAUCUUUCUUUUGAUAUGUGGUAGCUCUCCCAGUUCAUUAUAUUGAGGGAGUUAUGAUCGUUCAAAGUUGACCCAAAAAACUGGACGGCCUCAGUAGUUUGUGUGCAGGAAAUUUUGCUGCACAUUUACUGUUCACAACAUCCCGGCCGCCGUUUUAUAGUUUCGAACGUGCUCGAUUAUAUCCGAAACUUAUCCGUUUUUGGAAAUCUUUAUAUCGUUGGAAAGCUUAUUCAAUAACCUUCGUAUGGAACCAUCGACGGGAAAAUUCCGAUAUAAAUAAAGUCGAUUCCUAUACACCUAUAAUCAAACUAUACACUUGAAACCAUCUCAAAAUAAUCAAUACUCAUACUUAAACUCAUAUAUACCUAACUUAGGAUCAAUACAUAUACUCCAACACAUAUAACAAUG
rnacentral:lncRNA from 1 species